rnacentral:lncRNA from 1 species
CUCAAUUAGUCCAGACAGAGGCAGGAGAUAAAUCAGGGUCCCAUUAGGAAACCUGGAGGGGAAUUUAUGGCCCCGAGCGGCAGCGCUGGCUCGCUCCCUCCCCUGCCCAUCUGCAGCCUGCUCCGGAGCCGCGCGGGGACCGCGGGGCCCUCUCCCGGUGCCGGGGAUGCUCCGGGGAUGCUCCGGGGAUGCUCCGGGGAUGCUCCGGACCGGCUCAGCCCCGUCUUGACCGGCUGACCCAGAUCGGAGCCUUCUCCUUCCCUGGCAGCCUCAUCCUCCCUCCUUGCUCAGUCAUCCAUCGCUGGAUUCCUGCUCGGGGACGUUCGGGAGAAAGCCGGAGCCUUCCUGGAAAUCCGGGCUGGAAUUUCCCCGAUUCCGGCUGCUGGAGGCUUCAAUCGCUGCCGAGCUCCUCGGGGCGCUUCCCGACCCCGCUGUGCAAUCCAGGGGCGCUCCUGGGGGGUCGCGGAUCCCCCAGAGCAGCCGGGGAUGAGAGGAGGGGGCCAGGGAGGAGCUGGGUGGGAGAUCCGGGGCGGUCAGGGGGGUUCGGGGCGCUCACGGUCCCCGGGGAGGUUUUGGGCGCUGGCUCUGAGCUCUGCGAGCUGCAGCCCUGCCCCGGGCAGGAGCCGGAGCUGAUUUUAUCAAUCGCUGCCGCCGCCCUGGGCUCCUUCCAGCAGCGGAGUCUGCCAGCGACAAUUCCUGGAGCCCGGGAAGCGGCAGCUCCAUCCCCGCCCGAGGGCUCUGGGGGCAGCCCGGGGGCUCCCGGCCUCCCCCACAUCCCCGAGCCAGAAUUUCCCAGGGCUCAAAAAGGGAUUUUUUUGUCUUCCGGACAAAAUCCGCGUCCGGCGCUGGCCCCGUGAGCCGCUCCAAGGGCUGGAAAUGCCCCGCAUCUCCUCCCAAAAACACCCCAAAAGUGUGGCAGGAGCUGCUUUUCCCCAGGAGCCUCCCCGGGAAUGUUCGGGCGGGGCUCGGUCUCCCCAAAAUCACCGCUGGCUUUCCCAAG